AUUGAACGCUGGCGGCAUGCUUUACACAUGCAAGUCGAACGGCAGCGCGGGCUUCGGCCUGGCGGUGAGUGGCGAACGGGUGAGUAAUGCAUCGGAACGUGCCCAGUAGUGGGGGAUAGCCCGGCGAAAGCCGGAUUAAUACCGCAUACGACCUGAGGGUGAAAGCGGGGGACCGAAAGGCCUCGCGCUAUUGGAGCGGCCGAUGUCGGAUUAGCUAGUUGGUGGGGUAAAGGCUUACCAAGGCGACGAUCCGUAGCUGGUCUGAGAGGACGACCAGCCACACUGGGACUGAGACACGGCCCAGACUCCUACGGGAGGCAGCAGUGGGGAAUUUUGGACAAUGGGGGCAACCCUGAUCCAGCCAUGCCGCGUGCGGGAAGAAGGCCUUCGGGUUGUAAACCGCUUUUGUUCGGGAAGAAAUCCUCUGGGCUAAUACCCCGGGGGGAUGACGGUACCGGAAGAAUAAGCACCGGCUAACUACGU
rnacentral:rRNA from 1 species